rnacentral:misc_RNA from 1 species
AACCUUAUGGACCUGCGGGCGUAUACCUGCGGAGGGAUCAUUACAGAGAACUUGCCCUUCGGGGUAGAUCUCCCACCCUAUGUUUACAAUACCUUUGUUGCUUUGGCAGGCCCGUCUUUUAGACCGCCGGCUUUCAGCUGGUCAGCGCUUGCCAGAGGACCCCAAAAUUCUUGAUUUAGUGUUUGUCUGAGUAUGAUAUAAAUAGUUAAAACUUUCAACAAUGGAUCUCAGAUCGGAAGA